AUUGAACGCUGGCGGCAGGCCUAACACAUGCAAGUCGAGCGAGAGGCGGACGGGUGAGUAAUGUAUGGGGAUAUGCCCGAUAGAGGGGGAUAACUACUGGAAACGGUGGCUAAUACAGCAUACUAUCGCAAGAACCCAUAUGGGAUUAGCUAGUAGGUGGGGUAAAGGCUCACCUAGGCGCAGAUCUCUAGCUGGUCUGAGAGGAUGAGCAGCCACACUGGGACUGAGACACGGCCCAGACGCCUACGUGAGGCAGCAGUGGGGAAUAUUGCACAAUGGGCGCAAGCCUGAUGCAGCCAUGCCGCGUGUAUGAAGAAGGCCUUCGGUUUGUAAAGUACUUUCAGCGGUGAGGCGUUACCCGCAGAAGAAGCACCGGCUAACUCCGUGCCAGCAGCCGCGGUAAUAC
rnacentral:rRNA from 1 species